rnacentral:tRNA from 1 species
AGGAUGAUAGUUAAUAAUAACAGUUGGAUUGCAUACAAAAAGUACUGAAAAAUUUCAGUUUAUCUU